rnacentral:rRNA from 1 species
GUGACAGCAGCCGCGGUAAUACGGGGGGGACUAGCGUUGUUCGGAUUUACUGGGCGUAAAGGGCGCGUAGGCGGACCUUCAAGUCGGAUGUGAAAUCUGUCGGCUUAACUGACAGUCUGCACCCGAUACUGUUGGCCUUGAGUACGGGAGAGGAGAGCGGAAUUCCUGGUGUAGCGGUGAAAUGCGUAGAUAUCAGGAAGAACACCGGUUGCGAAGGCGGCUCUCUGGACCGAUACUGACGCUUAAGCGCGAAGGCUUGGGGAGCAAACAGGAUUAGAAACCCUGGUAGUCC